GGCGGAGACGCAAAACUUGGUUUUGCGCAAGACUGAGGAACUUGUGGGUGUACCUCACCCUUGCGGGUUCAAAUCCCGCCUCCGCCG
rnacentral:tRNA from 1 species